UACGUAGGGGGCAAGCGUUGUCCGGAAUCAUUGGGCGUAAAGGGCGCGUAGGUGGCCCGGUGAGUCUUUGGUGAAAGCGCGGGGCUCAACCCUGCGUCGGCCAGGGAUACUGCCGCGGCUCGAGCACUGUAGAGGCAGGCGGAAUUCCGGGUGUAGCGGUGGAAUGCGUAGAGAUCCGGAAGAACACCGGUGGCGAAGGCGGCCUGCUGGGCAGUGGCUGACGCUGAGGCGCGACAGCGUGGGGAGCAAACAGG
rnacentral:rRNA from 1 species